CCUAACACAUGCAAGUCGAGCGGAAACGAGUUAUCUGAACCUUCGGGGAACGAUAACGGCGUCGAGCGGCGGACGGGUGAGUAAUGCCUAGGAAAUUGCCCUGAUGUGGGGGAUAACCAUUGGAAACGAUGGCUAAUACCGCAUGAUGCCUACGGGCCAAAGAGGGGGACCUUCGGGCCUCUCGCGUCAGGAUAUGCCUAGGUGGGAUUAGCUAGUUGGUGAGGUAAGGGCUCACCAAGGCGACGAUCCCUAGCUGGUCUGAGAGGAUGAUCAGCCACACUGGAACUGAGACACGGUCCAGACUCCUACGGGAGGCAGCAGUGGGGAAUAUUGCACAAUGGGCGCAAGCCUGAUGCAGCCAUGCCGCGUGUAUGAAGAAGGCCUUCGGGUUGUAAAGUACUUUCAGUCGUGAGGAAGGCGMUGUCGUUAAUAGCGGCAUUGUUUGACGUUAGCGACAGAAGAAGCACCGGCUAACUCCGUGCCAGCAGCCGCGGUAAUACGGAGGGUGCGAGCGUUAAUCGGAAUUACUGGGCGUAAAGCGCAUGCAGGUGGUUUGUUAAGUCAGAUGUGAAAGCCCGGGGCUCAACCUCGGAAUAGCAUUUGAAACUGGCAGACUAGAGUACUGUAGAGGGGGGUAGAAUUUCAGGUGUAGCGGUGAAAUGCGUAGAGAUCUGAAGGAAUACCGGUGGCGAAGGCGGCCCCCUGGACAGAUACUG
rnacentral:rRNA from 1 species